CAGUCGUCGGACCAUUUCCCAACGAAGAACUAGCAUCUGCAGUAUUCGACCGUGGCCCGAGAUCGCGUCGCUUGCGCAAGCAUUCUGCAGCGAGGCGAACCCUCACCGACUCAACCUCCUACCGACAGCUGUCCGUGGUAUCAGUAGUUUGGUGUGUGCGGAGUUUACUUCAGAUAAGCGAUCUUCUCAGAUCGCCGAGAGCUUGCAAGGAGUCACCCAUCCCUGGCUAGGGUUGCAGUCCAGCGCCCUUGUCGUGUUGGCCUGAUGACCGCUCCCCGAUACGCCGUUGCGUCUGACGUUGCUCUUGAACUGAUCCGGCUUCUUGCGCAGCAUCUUGCUGAACGCCUCGACGAGGACGAAGACGGCGUCGUACAUAAGCGCUGCCUGAGCCUGGGAACCAAGGCGUGACGAACGGCAUCUGAAACGUAUUGCUGUACGAGUGGAGAGUGUCGAACGAGUCCGGACUGACGGCGCCCAGCAUGGAAUAGACGCCUCUGCUGAACUGGUUGCAUACUGGAAUUAGGUGAAGAAAAACGCAUUGCAAUGACAAACCGAUUUCAUCGAUAAUCUGCUUGACACGGAGGAGAGUGCUUGCAACGUGUAACAAGUUGAAGGUGUCAAUAUUAGUGAGAUUGUCAACUAUUUUAGUUAUUUUGACCGUCAAUCGGUGUGCAGUCAAGUUCCACGCAAGAAGUAACAAGUCCGUUGCAGAGACUGCGUGGGAGGAUGAAAUCUAAGAAUUAGGCGAAGGUGCAGAUUUCGGAUCUUUGGCCACGCAAAGCGAAGAAGUGGACGUCUUGGUAUGGAGAAACUGGUACAACUUUAUGUCAGUAAAGACUUGGCACCAGCCAGAGGUCCCGGGGGUAACCGCCGCGGGAAGGAGGGAAUGAUUCGAGUCGAGUUCGGGACCCAGGAAGCAGCAGCCCGAUACUGCAACGGUUUUGAAGUACAUGCAUUUAUUCAACGAUCCGAACAUCCUUGGCUCCGGAAAUAGAUGGGCCAAUUUUCCAUCCCUAUCGCGUUGCCCUUGGGCCUCGGGAAAUAAGUGCGACGCCGAGGGGCGAGACGUCGAGUGGAGAAGACGUUCCUCGUCGUCUGGAUUGCAAUUCGGAAAACUCACGGCCACGCAUUUACGCAUUCAACGCACAAGGGAUUUAAACGAGGUAUAUAUGCCAUUCCGUUGGGGGUGCCGAUCCAAGGAAUCUAGAAGGCAAAGUAAUGGUAGCUGGUAAGGACGAAACUUCUAGCAAGCAGCCGCCUCAGUUAUCUACGUCGUGACAGUGGUGAACGGAACUUACCGGCCAUCGGAAACAGCACCGUAACAAGAUCUUUUGACACUUGGAGCAAAGGAGAAAUCAUGCCCCCCAUUUUUUUUCAUACACUGCAGUUCCACGUGUUGAAUGAACAUUUGCAGUGGCAGUUUCCAAAAGAUAGCAAAAUCCCAACGGAUCAAGAGUAACGGCCGAAAAACGAAAAACUUUAUUUUUUGUCAUUUAUCAGGUGCUGGUCUUUCCUUCUCAAUUUAUUUGCUGCUAUUCCUACGCUAUUUUUGCUACGUUUACGGCAUUCCUGGGACUCCAAUUAGUCGGGUAGGGGUCGUACAAACUAAUUCAGAGACCAAAGGUUUUUCGGUCAAAAAAUAAAUAAAGCUAACCCCUUUGGAUUUUAGUUGAAAAUUAGAGGAAUUUGGAAAAUCCUAGACUUGAUUCUUUGAUGAAACAUUCCAACGUAAUUUUGCGAGAGAAAUCGAUUGUGCAUAGUCCGUAGUCAGUAACAUUACAGGUGCGAAAAAUACAGCCAUCCACAAGUUUUUUGUUACUACUCGUACUUCUUAUGCACUAUCUUUUCGCACGUUUACUAAACACCAUGACGGAACAUUGUUCAUCCCACAAUUGAUCAGAUUGGAUGCCAUCAUGCACUGCAGAUAUGGUUACCCGCACAUAACACGGGGUCGCGUACAAGACGAGGAUGAUUUUGGCGGAUGUUGUUAAGGAUAAAAAACCUCAGCUCAUAUUUAAAAUAAUACGGUAAUGGAUAAAUCAAUCAAUAUAUGAUUUUUUAACAUACACUUUUUCUUUAUUUCUGUUAAAAA